rnacentral:rRNA from 1 species
UGCCAGACUCCUACGGGAGGCAGCAGUGGGGGAUAUUGCACAAUGGGGGGAACCCUGAUGCAGCGACGCCGCGUGGGUGAAGAAGCGCCUCGGCGCGUAAAGCCCUGUCAGCAGGGAAGAAACAGACGGUACCUGACUAAGAAGCCCCGGCUAACUACGUGCCAGCAGCCGCGGUAAUACGUAGGGGGCAAGCGUUAUCCGGAUUCACUGGGUGUAAAGGGAGCGUAGACGGCGACGCAAGUCUGGAGUGAAAGCCCGGGGCCCAACCCCGGGACUGCUCUGGAAACUGCGGCGCUGGAGUACGGGAGGGGCAGGCGGAAUUCCUAGUGUAGCGGUGAAAUGCGUAGAUAUUAGGAGGAACACCAGUGGCGAAGGCGGCCUGCUGGACGACAACUGACGGUGAGGCGCGAAAGCGUGGGGAGCAAACAGGAUUAGAUACCCGGGUAC